ensembl:snoRNA
UCUGGCAGUGAUGACACUCUUGCCCUCACUGAGAACACAGUUCGGUAAUGAGAACCUUUACUAUGUACUCAGAAGUGCUGAGCCAGA